rnacentral:rRNA from 1 species
AACGAACGCUGGCGGCGCGUCUUAAGCAUGCAAGUCGAACGGCAAGAGAGGAGCUUGCUUCUCUCCUAGAGUGGCGGACUGGUGAGGAACACGUGGGUAAUCUACCCUUAAGUUGGGGAUAGCUGCUAGAAAUAGCAGGUAAUACCGUAUACACUCAAAUUUUCACAAGAAGAAUUGAGGAAAGAGGCUACGGCCUCGCUUGAGGAUGAGCUUGCGUCCCAUUAGCUAGUUGGUGAGGUAAAGGCCCACCAAGGCAACGAUGGGUAUCCGGCCAGAGAGGGUGAUCGGACACAUUGGGACUGAGAUACGGCCCAAACUCCUACGGGAGGCAGCAGCUAAGAAUAUUCCGCAAUGGACGAAAGUCUGACGGAGCGACGCCGCGUGGAUGAAGAAGGCUGAAAAGUUGUAAAAUCCUUUUGUCGAUGAAGAAUAAGGAUAAGAGGGAAUGCUUAUCUGAUGACGGUAAUCAGCGAAUAAGCCCCGGCUAAUUACGUGCCAGCAGCCGCGGUAACACGUAAGGGGCGAGCGUUGUUCGGAAUUAUUGGGCGUAAAGGGCAUGCAGGCGGUUGUGUAAGCCUGAUGUGAAAUCCUAGAGCUUAACUCUAGAAUAGCAUUGGGUACUGCACAACUUGAAUUACGGAAGGGAAACUGGAAUUCCAAGUGUAGGGGUGGAAUCUGUAGAUAUUUGGAAGAACACCGGUGGCGAAGGCGGGUUUCUGGCCGAUAAUUGACGCUGAGAUGCGAAAGUGUGGGGAUCAAACAGGAUUAGAUACCCUGGUAGUCCACACCGUAAACGAUGUACACUAGGUGUUGGGGUACGAACUUCAGUGCCAAAGCAAACGCGUUAAGUGUACCGCCUGGGGAGUAUGCCCGCAAGGGUGAAACUCAAAGGAAUUGACUGGGGGCCGCACAAGCGGUGGAGCAUGUGGUUUAAUUCGAUGGUACGCGAGGAACCUACCUGGGUUUGACAUCUAGUUGGAAUGUCUUAGAGAUAAGGCAGUGUAGCAAUACACCGCUAGACAGGUGCUGCAUGGCUGUCGUCAGCUCGUGCCGUGAGGUGUUUGGGUUAAGUCCGCACCGAGCGCCACCCCUACUGCCAGUUACUACAGGUAUGCUGAG